rnacentral:rRNA from 1 species
GUGAGGGCGCUGCUUAACACGCAAGUCGAACGGCAGCGGGUCCUUCGGACGCCGGCGAGUGGCGAACGGGUGAGUAAUGCAUCGGAACGUACCCAGUAGUGGGGGAUAACUUACCGAAAGGUAAGCUAAUACCGCAUACGCACUGAGGUGGAAAGCAGGGGACCGCAAGGCCUUGCGCUAUUGGAGCGGCCGAUGUCGGAUUAGCUAGUUGGUGGGGUAAAGGCCUACCAAGGCGACGAUCCGUAGCGGGUCUGAGAGGAUGAUCCGCCACACUGGAACUGAGACACGGUCCAGACUCCUACGGGAGGCAGCAGUGGGGAAUUUUGGACAAUGGGCGCAAGCCUGAUCCAGCCAUGCCGCGUGAGUGAAGAAGGCCUUCGGGUUGUAAAGCUCUUUCGGCCGGGAAGAAAUCGUGGUGGCGAAUACCUGCCAUGGAUGACGGUACCGGACUAAGAAGCACCGGCUAACUACGUGCCAGCAGCCGCGGUAAUACGUAGGGUGCGAGCGUUAAUCGGAAUUACUGGGCGUAAAGCGUGCGCAGGCGGUUGCGUAAGACAGGCGUGAAAUCCCCGGGCUCAACCUGGGAACUGCGCUUGUGACUGCACGGCUAGAGUACGGCAGAGGGGGGUGGAAUUCCACGCGUAGCAGUGAAAUGCGUAGAGAUGUGGAGGAACACCGAUGGCGAAGGCAGCCCCCUGGGUCGAUACUGACGCUCAUGCACGAAAGCGUGGGGAGCAAACAGGAUUAGAUACCCUGGUAGUCCACGCCCUAAACGAUGUCGACUAGUUGUUGGAGGGGUAAAACCCUUUAGUAACGUAGCUAACGCGUGAAGUCGACCGCCUGGGGAGUACGGCCGCAAGGUUAAAACUCAAAGGAAUUGACGGGGACCCGCACAAGCGGUGGAUGAUGUGGAUUAAUUCGAUGCACGCGAAAAUCUUACCUACUCUUGACAUGCCAGGAACUGCCAGAGAUGGCUUGUGCCCGCAG